rnacentral:rRNA from 1 species
UACGUAGGGUGCGAGCGUUAAUCGGAAUUACUGGGCGUAAAGCGUGCGCAGGCGGUGAUGUAAGACAGGUGUGAAAUCCCACGGCUUAACCGUGGAACUGCUGGGUAUACUGGUUGUCUUGAGCCACUUAGGGGCGAGCGGAACAAAUGGUGGAGCGGUGAAAUGCGUAGAUAUCAUUUGGAACGCCAAUGGUGAAAGCAGCUCGCUGGGAGUGUGCUGACGCUGAGACACGAAAGCCAGGGUAGCGAACGGG